GACGAACGCUGGCGGCGUGCCUAAUACAUGCAAGUAGGACGCAGUUGCGAACGGGUGAGUAACGCGUAGGUCACUGCAUCUUAGAGGGGGGUAACACUUGGAAACGCUAGCUAAUACCGCAUACUCGUAGAUGGAUCUGCGUUGUAUUAGCUAGUAGGUAGGGGAAUGGCCUACCAAGGCGACGGUACCUGACCGACCUGGGAGGGUGAUCGGGCACACUGGGGCCUGGACACGGCCCAGACUCCUACGGGAGGCAGCAGUAGGGAAUUUUCGGCAAAUGGGGGAACCCUGACCGGGCCACGCCGCGGGGGGGAAGAAGGUUUUCGGAUCGUUAAGCUCUGUUGUUAAGGAAGCGGUACUUAACCAGAAAGGGACGGCUAACUACGUGCCAGCAGCCGCGGUAAUUC
rnacentral:rRNA from 1 species